UACGUAGGGACCAAGCGUUGUUCGGAAUUACUGGGCGUAAAGCGCACGUAGGCGGACAUUUAAGUUGGAGGUGAAAGCCUUGGGCUCAACCCAAGAAUUGCCUUUGAUACUGGAUGUCUCGAGACCGGGAGAGGUGAGUGGAAUUCCGAGUGUAGAGGUGAAAUUCGUAGAUAUUCGGAAGAACACCAGUGGCGAAGGCGGCUCACUGGCCCGGCUCUGACGCUGAGGUGCGAAAGCGUGGGGAGCAAACAGG
rnacentral:rRNA from 1 species